GCAAGUCGAACGAAGCUUGAUUACGGAUUCUUCGGAUGAAGUAUGAUAUGACUGAGUGGCGGACGGGUGAGUAACGCGUGAGUAACCUGCCCUUCAGAGGGGGAUAGCGUUUGGAAACGAACGGUAAUACCGCAUAAUGUAUUUUGACCGCAUGAUCGAAAUACCAAAGAUUUAUCGCUGAAGGAUGGACUCGCGUCUGAUUAGGUAGUUGGUGGGGUAACGGCCUACCAAGCCGACGAUCAGUAGCCGGACUGAGAGGUUGAUCGGCCACAUUGGGACUGAGACACGGCCCAGACUCCUACGGGAGGCAGCAGUGGGGAAUAUUGCACAAUGGGCGCAAGCCUGAUGCAGCAACGCCGCGUGAAGGAAGACGGUUUUCGGAUUGUAAACUUCUGUUCUUAGUGAAGAAUAAUGACGGUAGCUAAGGAGCAAGCCACGGCUAACUACGUGCCAGCAGCCGCGGUAAUACGUAGGUGGCAAGCGUUGUCCGGAAUUACUGGGUGUAAAGGGAGCGCAGGCGGGUGAUCAAGUCAGCUGUGAAAACUACGGGCUUAACCCGUAGACUGCAGUUGAAACUGUUCAUCUUGAGUGAAGUAGAGGUUGGCGGAAUUCCGAGUGUAGCGGUGAAAUGCGUAGAUAUUCGGAGGAACACCGGUGGCGAAGGCGGCCAACUGGGCUUUAACUGACGCUGAGGCUCGAAAGUGUGGGGAGCAAACAGGAUUAGAUACCCUGGUAGUCCACACUGUAAACGAUGAUUGCUAGGUGUGG
rnacentral:rRNA from 1 species